ACUGAGGCUCCGCAAAAGAAACUUCUAGACUUGAGGAAAGUAGAGGUACAGGGAAUUUCCGGUGGAGCGGUGAAAUGCGUAGAUAUCGGAAGGAACACCAAUAUGGCGAAGGCACUGUACUGGGCUUUUCCUGACGCUCAGAGACGAAAACUGAAGGAGUGAUUAGGAUUAGAUACCCUAGUAAUUUCAGCCGUAAACGAUGAAAACUCACUGUCGAGCCAAUAUAUGGAGCGGUGGUCAAGCUAACGCGUGAAGUUUUCCGCCUGGGGAUUACGCUUGCAAAAGUGAAACUCAAAGGAAUUGACGGGGACCCGCACAAGCGGUGGAGUAUGUGGUUUAAUUCGAUGCAACGCGAAAAACCUUACCAGGGUUUGAAAUAAUUUCAAAACUUCUUGAAAGAGAAGCCUCCUUCGGGAUGGAAUUACAGGUGGUGCAUGGCUGUCGUCAGCUCGUGUUGUGAAAUGUCAAGUUAAGUCUUGUAACGAGCGCAACCCAUGUCUCUUGUUGCUGUUUACAGUGCUUAAGAGAAACUGCCGAUCAACAUCGGAGGAAGGUGUGGAUGAUGUCAAGUCAGCAUGCCCCUUACAUCCUGGGCUACACACGUACUACAAUGGUCGAGACAAAGGGUCGCUAACCUGCAAAGGCAUGCCAAUCUCAUAAACUCGAUCUCAGUUCGGAUUGUACUCUGCAACUCGAGUACAUGAAGGUGGAAUCGCUAGUAAUCGCUGGUCAGCAUACAGCGGUGAAUACGUUCCCGGGUCUUGUACACACUGCCCGUCACACCAUGGAAGUCGACCCUUCCCUAAGUCGUUACUCGAACCUGUAAAGGACGAGGACGCCGAAGGCAGAGUUGGUGACUAGGGUGAAGUCGUAACAAGGUAGCCGUA
rnacentral:rRNA from 1 species